rnacentral:rRNA from 1 species
AGAGUUUGAUCCUGGCUCAGAGCGAACGCUGGCGGCGUGCCUAACACAUGCAGUCGAACGUGAAAGGGGGCAACCCUGAGUAAAGUGGCGUACGGGUGAGUAACACGUGGGUAAUCUACCUCGAAGCUCGGAAUAACCUGCCGAAAGGCGGGCUAAUACUGGAUAGUUCGAGAGGAUCGUAAUCGGUCUUCUCGGGAAAGGGAGCUCGCAAGAGCCCUCACUUUGAGAUGAGCCUGCGUCUCAUUAGUUAGUUGGUGGGGUAAUGGCCUACCAAGACUUUGAUGAGUAGCUGGUCUGAGAGGAUGAUCAGCCACACUGGAACUGAAACACGGUCCAGACUCCUACGGGAGGCAGCAGUGGGGAAUAUUGCGCAAUGGACGCAAGUCUGACGCAGCCACGCCGCGUGAGUGAAGAAGGCCUUCGGGUUGUAAAGCUCUGUCGAGUGGGACGAAAACCUGCCGGUGAAUAGCCGGUAGCUUGACGGUACCGCCAAAGGAAGCACCGGCUAACUCUGUGCCAGCAGCCGCGGUAAUAC